rnacentral:rRNA from 1 species
UUGGAGGGCAAGUCUGGUGCCAGCAGCCGCGGUAAUUCCAGCUCCAAUAGCGUAUAUUAAAGUUGUUGCAGUUAAAAAGCUCGUAGUUGAAUUUUGGAUUCUUCCAAUUGGUCCAUCUUUUAGAUGAGUACUGGUUGUGUGGGGUCUAUCCGCCUGGUGAUACGUAAUGUCCUUUAUUGGAUGUUGCGGGUAGUCAGGACCUUUACCUUGAAAAAAUUAGAGUGUUUAAAGCAGGCUUAUGCCGGAAUACAUUAGCAUGGAAUAAUAGAAUAGGACGAAGUUGUUUUAUUUUGUUGGUUUCUAGGACAACCGUAAUGAUUAAUAGGGAUAGUUGGGGGCAUUAGUAUUCAAUUGUCAGAGGUGAAAUUCUUGGAUUUAUUGAAGACUAACUACUGCGAAAGCAUUUGCCAAGGAUGUUUUCAUUAAUCAAGAACGAAAGUUAGGGGAUCGAAGACGAUCAGAUACCGUCGUAGUCUUAACCAUAAACUAUGCCGACUAGGGAUCGGGCGAUGUUGUUUCCAUGACUCGCUCGGCACCCUAUGGGAAACCAAAG